rnacentral:rRNA from 1 species
UACGAAGGGGGCUAGCGUUGCUCGGAAUCACUGGGCGUAAAGGGUGCGUAGGCGGGUCUUUAAGUCAGGGGUGAAAUCCUGGAGCUCAACUCCAGAACUGCCUUUGAUACUGAAGAUCUUGAGUUCGGGAGAGGUGAGUGGAACUGCGAGUGUAGAGGUGAAAUUCGUAGAUAUUCGCAAGAACACCAGUGGCGAAGGCGGCUCACUGGCCUGUAACUGACGCUGAGGCGCGAAAGCGUGGGGAGCAAACAGG